rnacentral:tRNA from 1 species
UCCCUGGUGGCUCAGAUGGUAAAGAAUCUGCCUACAGUGCAGGAGACCUGGGUUCAAUCUCCAGUUUGGGAA